rnacentral:rRNA from 1 species
AUUGAACGCUGGCGGCAUGCCUUACACAUGCAAGUCGAACGGUAACGAGCCUUCGGGUGCCGACGAGUGGCGAACGGGUGCGUAAUACAUCGGAACGUGCCCGAUCGUGGGGGAUAACGAGGCGAAAGCUUUGCUAAUACCGCAUACGAUCUACGGAUGAAAGCAGGGGACCGAAAGGCCUUGCGCGGACGGAGCGGCCGAUGGCAGAUUAGGUAGUGGGUGGGAUAAAAGCUUACCAAGCCGAUGAUCUGUAGCUGGUCUGAGAGGCUGAUCAGCCACACUGGGACUCAGACACGGCCCAGACUCCUACGGGAGGCAGCAGUGGGGAAUUUUGGACAAUGGGCGCAAGCCUGAUCCAGCCAUGCCGCGUGCAGGAUGAAGGCCUUCGGGUUGUAAACUGCUUUUGUACGGAACGAAAAGCCUUCUUUUAAUACAGGAGGGUCAUGACGGUACCGUAAGAAUAAGCACCGGCUAACUACGUG